CACAUUCAAUGACAUAGCCGGUAGAGCACGUAACUAGUAUUUGAGUAGGAAAGUUGUGUAUUUAGGCAUCAUGAAAUGACUUUUGAUGAACCAAUGUCCACCAGCAAAUGUCACACCGCACUGCAGAUGCCAAACACUGUUAGCAACUGAUGUGUACUCUCGCAGAAAAGGAUUUCUGGCCAAGGGAAACGAAAUUUCAAAAGCACAGGUAGGAAAUGGGGUUUGUGCUGAUGAUACUGAGCUGUCUAGAUAAA
rnacentral:lncRNA from 1 species